rnacentral:rRNA from 1 species
GACGUAGGGGGCAAGCGUUGUCCGGAUUUAUUGGGCGUAAAGAGCGUGUAGGCGGCCAUACAGGUCCGUUGUGAAAACUGGAGGCUUAACCUCCAGACGUCGAUGGAAACCGUAUGGCUAGAGUCCGGAAGAGGCGAGUGGAAUUCCCGGUGUAGCGGUGAAAUGCGCAGAUAUCGGGAGGAACACCUAUGGCGAAGGCAGCUCGCUGGGACGUUACUGACGCUGAGACGCGAAAGCGUGGGGAGCAAACAGG